rnacentral:rRNA from 1 species
UACGUAGGGCGCAAGCGUUGUCCGGAAUUAUUGGGCGUAAAGAGCUCGUAGGCGGUCUGUUACGUCCGCUGUGAAAUCCCAGGGCUUAACCCUGGGCUUGCAGUGGAUACGGGCAGACUAGAGGCAGGUAGGGGAGAAUGGAAUUCCCGGUGUAGCGGUGAAAUGCGCAGAUAUCGGUAGGAACACCAGUGGCGAAGGCGGUCUCUUGGGGCAUUCUUGACGCUGAGGCGCGAAAGCUGGGGGAGCGAACGGG